GAUGAACGCUGGCGGCGUGCCUAAUACAUGCAAGUCGAACGCUGAAGGAAGGAGCUUGCUCUUUCCGGAUGAGUUGCGAACGGGUGAGUAACGCGUAGGUAACCUGCCUGGUAGCGGGGGAUAACUAUUGGAAACGAUAGCUAAUACCGCAUAACAGUAGAUGUUGCAUGACAACUAUUUGAAAGGGGCAAUUGCUCCACUACCAGAUGGACCUGCGUUAUAUUAGCUAGUUGGUGAGGUAACGGCUCACCAAGGCGACGAUACAUAGCCGACCUGAGAGGGUGAUCGGCCACACUGGGACUGAGACACGGCCCAGACUCCUACGGGAGGCAGCAGUAGGGAAUCUUCGGCAAUGGACGGAAGUCUGACCGAGCAACGCCGCGUGAGUGAAGAAGGUUUUCGGAUCGUAAAGCUCUGUUGUAAGAGAAGAACGAGUGUGAGAGUGGAAAGUUCACACUGUGACGGUAGCUUACCAGAAAGGGACGGCUAACUACGUG
rnacentral:rRNA from 1 species